rnacentral:tRNA from 1 species
GCCCCACUUGUCUAAUGGCUAUGACGUCAGACUUCUAAUCUGGAGGUUGCGGGUUCGAGUCCCGCGUGGGGUU